rnacentral:rRNA from 1 species
GAUGAACGCUAGCGGCAGGCUUAAUACAUGCAAGUCGAGGGGCAGCACGAAUAGCAAUAUUUGGUGGCGACCGGCGCACGGGUGCGUAACACGUAUACAACCUACCUAUAACAGGGGGAUAGCCUUUCGAAAGAGAGAUUAAUACCCCGUAAUAAAUUGAAUGGCAUCAUUUGAUUUUGAAAGCUACGGCGGUUAUAGAUGGGUAUGCGUCUGAUUAGCUAGUUGGUGAGGUAAUGGCUCACCAAGGCGACGAUCAGUAGGGGAUCUGAGAGGACUAACCCCCACACUGGUACUGAGACACGGACCAGACUCCUACGGGAGCAGCAGUAAGGAAUAUUGGUCAAUGGAGGCAACUCUGAACCAGCCAUGCCGCGUGCAGGAUGACGGCCCUAUGGGUUGUAAACUGCUUUUGUACCAGAGAAAACCUAUCUACGUGUAGAUAGCUGAUAGUAUGGUAAGAAUAAGC